rnacentral:lncRNA from 1 species
CGAGCGUCACUGAUGAGUCUUUUGUAGACGAAACGCGCGUCUGGCGUAUAUAUAAAAUUUAGUCCUGGUAUCUAUGAUGAGUUUAUUUUAUACUAUAUAUAUAUAUAUAUAUAUAUAUGACAUUUCAUCUGGCCCUACAUCUACCGGGUGUUUAGUAAAGGCAACAGUAGUAUACCGCAGUUCGAAAUUCAUAAAUCGAGAAAUAAAAACAAAUCCGGGUUACAAACUAAAACUUAGGGAAACGCAUCAAAUAUAAGAGGAAAACUACGACACAACAGAAAUACAACAUUAAAAUGUAACAAACACAGAAACGAACUAUUAUAUAACAAUGGCAAUUUUCCUGACUUGGUACAGGACAUUUUAAGAAAAAAAAAUGGUGGAUUGAACCUGGUUUUGUGACAUGCCAAACCUUCCACUUUAAUGGCAAUGAUAAAUUUAACAUUAAAAUGACAAUAUUACCUGACAGGAUUACAUUACAAAAAAAUGGGAGAAAAUAUAGGACAGAGAAAUACACUAAUAAUAGCUAACAAAAAGUAUCAGGUUUAAAAUUUUAUACGCCAGACGUGCGUUUCGUUACAUUUUUA